rnacentral:lncRNA from 1 species
UUAGCAGUACUUUGGAAAUGACUAAAGAAAAAAUAAUAGCUAAAAUGAGAUGGAAUUCAACACUUUAACCUCAGCGUUCAGCCAAAUAGAAUUUUAAGGCUCUGAAUUGUAAACUCAUUCCAUUUGACUUGAUUUUAAGGUCACAUUGAGCCAAAACUAACUUAUGUGCCUUGAAUUCACUGCUUUGAACUGAAAAGUAAACUAUUUACUUGCUCCCAAUGAGAAUACAUUAUGCAGAAAGAUUGCUUCCUGUUUGUCCUAGAGGGGUUUCCCUUCCCUGAAAGAAGCCAUAAUUUGGGUCAGCUGUCUCUGCAGGGGCCAUCCCUGACAGCUUUCUCAGGAUAAGUGAGAUCAGAAAAGCACCAAGCUGUCGUAAUAUGUGAAGCUAAAGGCUUGGCAGAGCACCUUCAUUGCAGAGGGCUCUAAUUUUAAAUAUGGU